rnacentral:rRNA from 1 species
GACGAACGCUGGCGGCGUGCUUAACACAUGCAAGUCGAACGGAAAGGCCCUGCUUUUGUGGGGUGCCCGAGUGGCGAACGGGUGAGCAACACGUGAGUAACCUGCCCUUGACUUUGGGAUAACUUCAGGAAACUGGGGCUAAUACCGGAUAGGAGCUCCUGCUGCAUGGUGGGGGUUGGAAAGUUUCGGCGGUUGGGGAUGGACUCGCGGCUUAUCAGCUUGUUGGUGGGGUAGUGGCUUACCAAGGCUUUGACGGGUAGCCGGCCUGAGAGGGUGACCGGCCACAGUGGGACUGGGGUACGGCCCAGACUCCUACGGGGGGCAGCGGUGGGGAAUAUUGCACAAUGGGCGGAGGCCUGAUGCAGCAACGCCGCGUGGGGGAUGACGGCCUUCGGGUUGUAAACCGCUUUGGCCUGUGACGAGGCGUGAGUGACGGUAAUGGGUAAAGAAGCACCGGCUAACUACGU